GGCCUAACACAUGCAAGUCGAGCGGUAGCACAGGGAGCUUGCUCCUGGGUGACGAGCGGCGGACGGGUGAGUAAUGUCUGGGAAACUGCCUGAUGGAGGGGGAUAACUACUGGAAACGGUAGCUAAUACCGCAUAACGUCUUCGGACCAAAGUGGGGGACCUUCGGGCCUCACGCCAUCAGAUGUGCCCAGAUGGGAUUAGCUAGUAGGUGGGGUAAUGGCUCACCUAGGCGACGAUCCCUAGCUGGUCUGAGAGGAUGACCAGCCACACUGGAACUGAGACACGGUCCAGACUCCUACGGGAGGCAGCAGUGGGGAAUAUUGCACAAUGGGCGCAAGCCUGAUGCAGCCAUGCCGCGUGUGUGAAGAAGGCCUUCGGGUUGUAAAGCACUUUCAGCGAGGAGGAAGGGUAGUGUGUUAAUAGCACAUUACAUUGACGUUACUCGCAGAA
rnacentral:rRNA from 1 species